rnacentral:rRNA from 1 species
UACGAAGGGGGCUAGCGUUGCUCGGAAUCACUGGGCGUAAAGCGCACGUAGGCGGAUUGUUAAGUCGGGGGUGAAAUCCUGGAGCUCAACUCCAGAACUGCCUUCGAUACUGGCGAUCUUGAGUCCGGGAGAGGUGAGUGGAACUGCGAGUGUAGAGGUGAAAUUCGUAGAUAUUCGCAAGAACACCAGUGGCGAAGGCGGCUCACUGGCCCGGUACUGACGCUGAGGUGCGAAAGCGUGGGGAGCAAACAGG